ACCGCAUAGGAUUGUUAGAUACGCGCUUUUGUUUCUUGCAUUUCAAAUUUAUAUAGAAGGACCACAAUGGCUCUUCGAAACUCUUGAGACUGAUGUAUCAUUCUGAUUGUGUUUAAUCCAUGUUUCAUUUCUCAAAAAAAAAAGAAAAAAAAAGAACGUCAGUUAUCUGUUGUGGGUAUGAUAACCUGAUAACUUAUGUUUUAUUGUCUAUUCGACUUCAGUUUGCAGAUGAAUCAUAUUCAAUUGUAUCGAAAUAUUUUGAGAUUAGAACUCACCAUCUUUUUUUUUUUUUUUUUUAAGGUCGGGCUAGGUACCCGCUAGAUAUUAUCACCCAUGUUAUUAUUAUUAAGAGAAAUAUCGUAUAACGAGGGGGUCAUACUACCUAAACCUCGUGAGAUAUUACAACCAUCCUCCAUGAGAACAUCCUGAAUAAUAUCAGGAGGCUCGUCAACCCAAAACUCAUUUAAACUCGAUGAUCUAGCAAGAUGAGCCAGUCUAUGCGCCACACCAUUUGCUUCUCUAUAAACGUGACGAAGUAAUAUAAAUCUGAAAGCCUCCAUAUAAUGACGACAAUCAGACAAAAUAAAACUAACCUCAAUCACAUCACCAUCUAUAGUAGCCAAUGCCUUCAUAACAGUUGCACAAUCACCCUCGAUUUCAGCUUCAUCCCACCCUUGGUGAAUUGCGAUGAACAAACUAGCACGUAGUGCCUCCGCCUCCAUGUGCAUCGCUGAACUAGCAUAAGACAUAUGUCGCUGAACUCAACAUCUUAAAGAUGGUUAAGUUAAGACAAUAUCAUUACAAGAAUGGUCCAUGAGUCACGGUUGUCGUUGUUUAACUUGAGUUAUAUAAAUCUUGUUUAAUUUCUUUUCAUUCUUAUAUUUUUCUAUUCCGGUGUCUUACUAAUUCCCUUUCUCAGUGAAUAUAGUUUCACCACAAUGUUACUAAAACUUAAAUGCCUAUAAAUUUUUACCAGAAAAUAAAUGACGUUCAAAUUAAGUUUCACUUUCUUCCCUCAUAUUAACCUAAAAGUAAAACGCGGUUUGGUGGGGUUUCAGAAAUUUGCUUCAAGGUUCCGUCCGGCAGCGCAUCCAUUGAUGAUGUCGGCGGACGGGAAUUAAGGGCGGCCAAGCUGUGGUUGUGUCUUUAAGGUCGGUGGCGGUGGACAUCGAGAUGGUGGCGAUACAAGUUUCGAUCAAGAGGUGUUAGUGUGGUGUUGAAAGGCAGUUUGGUUGCUCUGGCAGGGAAAUCUAGACUUCGGUCAGGCGUGGAUGUUUAGGUUGUGCGACGGGGAGGCAACCUGGUGCGGCUGUGUGAUUCAUGGGGAGAAAGUGGAGGCGGUAACAGGCUGUGUACCUAGAUUGGUUUCUCGAUCAGGGGCAAGGUCCCCCUCCCAAGUUUCUGGGCAGAUCUAGAAGGUGGUUUUGGUGCAUCCUUGUGGUGGUUGCGAUCGGAACGAGCAGGCGGCGGUUGUUGUCGGCGGGGUAGUGUGAUUGCUUUUAGAUACAUGCAUAUCCCUUUGGGGUCGGGCCUUUGUGUGGCCCAUGUCUUGAAGUAUGAUGGGUUUUAGGGUGGGUCUAGGUUUCUUUAGGGCCUAGGUUUGGGUCUUGUAGGUUUUUUGUUUAUGUUUUUAGGUUUUUGUUAGGUUGUUUUAAUUGAUUUUGGUGUCCCUCCUCUUUGAGGAAGGGUUUAGGGUUGGUUCGUUGUUGUCGUGGGUCGUGUUGUUGGGUGGGGCAUGGUUAUGGUGUCCUUUUGAGGGACUAUUUUUAAGUCGGUUAGUUUUUGUUGUCAAUGUAACGAGGAGGUUUCAUGUACAUAUAUAUAUGCUGACAAUUUUGCCAUAUAACGUUGGGUAUGGUUAUGGUGUCUUUUUUAGGGACUAUUUUUAAGUUGGUUAGUUUUUGUUGUCAAUGUAACGAGGAGGUUUCAUGUACAUAUAUAUAUGCUGAUAAUUUUGCCAUAUAAUGUUUGAAAGGGUUGGUUCUUCUUGAGGUUGACUGUAAGAGCAAAUGCACCCAUUUUAGAUGGGUUAGAUCAAUUUUCAACCCAGGUUAAUAUACUAUUCAUCCAAAUCAGUCUUUGGUCUUUUGUUUGACAAUACAACAACAAGAUUGAUCAUAAGACCAAUUACUAUUCACAUUUCAUAUGGACCAUUAGAUUUUGGUCUAAACGACCCAUAUUAAAUAGUCAUUUGAAAAAGUUAUCAUCCCCAUGUGCAUGUCCACUCCUCAUGUGCAAUUUGGUCUCACAUGGGUCCCGUGGAGAAAUUGGUCAUGGACUGAGAGAUGGGUUAAUCCUUAACCCAGACCACAAUCCAUCAUGGUAGGUCUCGCAUGGGGUCCAGCAUCAACCCAGUCCAAUUUUUUGCUGUUAGAUGCAAUUUUUGGUCCAACCCAUACAAAUGGUCAUUUGCUACAUUUGCUCUAAGGAUGUAUCGAAGCUUUUGGAAUAUGUUAGGAGUUGAACCCUUUUUGGUUCUUGUCCACUGUAAUCGUUGUUUUUAGGUAGGGAGGAGCGUGAUGACUUUAUGUCUACCAUCGAAAUCUCAUGGGUGUAAUGUUGGUUUAUUUAUAACUAGCAUCUUCACCCGCACUAUGUGCGUGUAUGAAUUUUUUUUUUUUAUUGUUACAGUUAUGCUCAAAGUCUGAUUUUCUUUUUAUUCUCAAAAAAAGAAAAAAAUCUGAUUUCCCUCUCCACUUUUCUCUCUCACCUCCCACGUUUUAAGCUUCUUUCUUUCUGUUUUUCAUUUUUUCUUAUUUCCAACAUUUGUAAUUAUUAAUUUGUCAUUCAUUUGUUAGAUGACAUAUUUUAAAGUUUUAAUUGAUUAAAGAUAUUAUAGAUAGUUCAAAAAUUUAACCGUUGAUAAAAUCAAAAAAGCCUUCUGGUUUUAUUAACAGAGAAAAACAUACAAAAAAUAAAAGGAAAACACAAGUAAAAAGGCAACA
rnacentral:lncRNA from 1 species